GACGUAGGGGGCAAGCGUUGUCCGGAAUUAUUGGGCGUAAAGCGCUCGUAGGCGGAUCGAUAAGUCUGUGAAGAAAGACCCGGGCUCAACUCGGGGAACGGCAUAGAUACUGUUGAUCUUGAGACAGUCAGAGGAUGAUGGAAUUCCAGGUGUAGCGGUGAAAUGCGUAGAUAUCUGGAGGAACACCAGUCGGCGGAAGGCGAAUCAUCUGGGGCUGUUCGUGACGCUGAGG
rnacentral:rRNA from 1 species